CCUACGGGUGGCAGCAGUGGGGAAUAUUGCACAAUGGGGGAAACCCUGAUGCAGCGACGCCGCGUGGGUGACGAAGUAUUUCGGUAUGUAAAGCCCUAUCAGCAGGGAAGAAGAUGACAGUACCUGACCAAGAAGCCCCGGCUAACUACGUGCCAGCAGCCGCGGUAAUACGUAGGGGGCAAGCGUUAUCCGGAUUUACUGGGUGUAAAGGGAGCGUAGGUGGCAUGGAAAGCCAGAAGGGAAAACCCGGGGCUUAACCCCGCGGAUUGCUUUUGGAACUGUCAGGCUGGAGUGCAGGAGGGGCAGGCGGAAUUCCUGGUGUAGCGGUGAAAUGCGUAGAUAUCAGGAGGAACACCGGUGGCGAAGGCGGCCUGCUGGACUGUAACUGACACUGAGGCUCGAAAGCGUGGGGAGCAAACAGGAUUAGAUACCCUGGUAGUC
rnacentral:rRNA from 1 species